rnacentral:rRNA from 1 species
GAGAGGAUGACCAGCCACACUGGAACUGAGACACGGUCCAGACUCCUACGGGAGGCAGCAGUGGGGAAUAUUGCACAAUGGGCGCAAGCCUGAUGCAGCCAUGCCGCGUGUAUGAAGAAGGCCUUCGGGUUGUAAAGUACUUUCAGCGGGGAGGAAGGGAGUAAAGUUAAUACCUUUGCUCAUUGACGUUACCCGCAGAAGAAGCACCGGCUAACUCCGUGCCAGCAGCCGCGGUAAUACGGAGGGUGCAAGCGUUAAUCGGAAUUACUGGGCGUAAAGCGCACGCAGGCGGUUUGUUAAGUCAGAUGUGAAAUCCCCGGGCUCAACCUGGGAACUGCAUCUGAUACUGGCAAGCUUGAGUCUCGUAGAGGGGGGUAGAAUUCCAGGUGUAGCGGUGAAAUGCGUAGAGAUCUGGAGGAAUACCGGUGGCGAAGG